rnacentral:lncRNA from 1 species
CUCAAAUCGACUUGCCCGAGAAAGCCAGCCAGAGCAGGGAGGCUCAUUCCUAAAUGACCUUCAGCAGCCGAUCCACCUUAGACAGGACACGUGGCCCAGGGAAGGCUCUGGCGUUCAGCGUCUGGGUUCCUCUGACCUGCUCUGCCUUUUCCACGAUGCACUUGAACUAUGAAGAAUGGAGGCUGCAGGUGUGGAAGUCCGAGGUUAGCCCUUUGCAUAUGCUGUCUCAUGGAGCUCAGGGUUUACCCUCUCAGGGUUUACCCUCUGAAUGUCCUUCUCGCCAUACUGCCGACGAGGGCUUGAAGCUCAGAAAAGAACCUGACCGUCAAGGCAGAUGCAAAUGGAAAUGAUGAGCGAG